GGUGUCAUUCUUUCGCGCUGCACACACCUUCCUCCACGUGGUGAAGAUACAUCGCUCCUGACAGCCUCAUGCCUGACUGGACACUGAAAAAGAGGUGAAGAGAUGAGGCGAUAGAACAAAAGAACAGAAAGAUAAUGAAGCUGAGACUAAGUAAGUGAAAGCAUAAUUAUGUAUGCAGCCACAAAUGGAGCACAAAGCAAUUACUGCUUGUGGGAAUUUGAGAGAUGCUCUUUGAAGAGGUGUGAGGGAAUCAGUAAUACUUGCAGUGACUUUUAAGGAGGUGGAGUGUGCUGAUGAAGAUGCCACAAAGAACUGAUGGGAAGUUAUUCCUCUCCCCAACUGCUAUUGUAUCCUUCCUGUAGUGCUGUCUCUGCUUUUUGCAUCUUGCCCAGUAUAUUAUGACACAAAUAAAAAUUCUCUUUUCAUCAUCUUGCAA
rnacentral:lncRNA from 1 species